AGCGGCGAACGGGUGAGUAACACGUGAGUAUCUGCCCUUCACUCUGGGAUAAGCACUCGAAAGGGUGUCUAAUACCGGAUACGCACGCAUGUGGAAACUUUUCUGGGUGGGGGAUGUGCUCGCGGCCUAUCAGCUUGUUGGUGAGGUAAUGGCUCACCAAGGCUUCGACGGGUAGCCGGCCUGAGAGGGUGACCGGCCACACUGGGACUGAGACACGGCCCAGACUCCUACGGGAGGCAGCAGUGGGGAAUAUUGGACAAUGGGCGGAAGCCUGAUCCAGCAACGCCGCGUGAGGGAUGACUGCCUUCGGGUUGUAAACCUCUUUCAUCAUUGACGAAGCUCGCCGUUUAGGUGGGUGACGGUAGGUGGAGAAGAAGCACCGGCCAACUACGUGCCAGCAGCCGCGGUAAUACGUAGGGUGCGAGCGUUGUCCGGAAUUAUUGGGCGUAAAGGGCUCGUAGGCGGUUUGUCGCGUCGGGAGUGAAAACACUGGGCUUAACCGAGUGCUUGCUUCCGAUACGGGCAGACUAGAGGUAUGCAGGGGAGAACGGAAUUCCUGGUGUAGCGGUGAAAUGCGCAGAUAUCAGGAGGAACACCGGUGGCGAAGGCGGUUCUCUGGGCAUUACCUGACGCUGAAGAGCGAAAGUGUGGGGAGCGAACAGGAUAGAUACCCUGUUAGUUCACACGA
rnacentral:rRNA from 1 species